rnacentral:tRNA from 1 species
UGGGGAAUAGUCUAGCGGUAGGACGGCGGAUUCUGGAUCCGUUAGGGAAGGUUCGAAUCCUUCUUCCCCAGCCA